UCAUACAUAAAAGAAUUCAGAGAAGAUUCAAAUAUUAUUCAUAGAUAGACUUGAUCAUAAACCCACAAUUCAUCGGUCUCAACAAACACACCGCAAAAAGAAGAUUACAUCGAAUAGUUCCCCACAAGAUAGGGGAGAACAUUGUAUUGAGAUCCAAAAAGAGAGAAGAAGCCAUCUAGCUACUAACUAUGGACAUGUAGGUCUGAGGUAAACUACUCACACUUCAUCGGAAGGGCUAUGGUGUUGAUGUAGAAGCCCUCCGUGAUCGAUGCCCCCUCCGGCAGAGCUCCGGAAUAGGCCCCAAGAUGGGAUCUUGUGGAUACAGAAAGUUGCGGAGUGGAAUUAGGGUUUUGGAUCUGUAUCUGAUCAUUUGGGGGUACGUAGGUAUAUAUAGAAGGAAGGAGUACGUCGGUGGAGCAACAGGGGGCCCACGAGGGUGGAGGGGGCGCCUGGGGGUGUAGGCACGCCCCCCUACCUCGUGGCCUCCUCUUUUCUUUCUUGACAUAGGGUCCAAGUCUCCCGUGUCUUGUUUGUUGAGAAAAUCACGUUCCCGAAGGUUUCAUUCCGUUUGGACUCCGUUUGAUAUUCCUUUUCUUCAAAACCCUAAAACAGGCAAAAAAACAGCAAUUCUGGGCUGGGCCUCCGGUUAAUAGGUUAGUCCCAAAAAUAAUAUAAAAGUGGAUAAUAAAGCCCAAUAAUGUCCAAAAAAGUAGAUAAUAUAGCAUGGAGCAAUCCAGAAUUAUAGAUACGUUGGAGACGUAUCAAGCAUCCCCAAGCUUAAUUCCUGCUCGUCCUCGAGUAGGUAAAUGAUAAAAACAGAAUUUUUGAUGUGGAGUGCUACUUGGAAUAAUUUUAAUGUAAUUCCUAAUUCUGGUAUGAAUAUUCAGAUCCAAAAGAUUCAAGACAAAAGUUCAUAUUGACAUAAAAAUAAUAAUACUUCAAGCAUACUAACUAAGCAAUUAUGUCUUCACAAAAUAACAUGGCCAAAGAAAGUUCAUACCUACAAAAUCAUAUGGUUUAGUCAUGUUUCAUUUUCGUCACACAAGAAUGCUCUCAUCAUGCACAACCCCGAUGACAAGCCAAGCAAUUGUUUCAUACUUUAGUAAUCUCAAACCUAUAAACUUUCACGCAAUAUAUGAGCGCGAGCCAUGGACAUAGCACUAUGGGUGGAAUAGAAUAUAAUGAGGGGGGGUUAUGUGGAGAAGACAAAAAAGGAUAAAUUCUCACAUCAACGAGGCUAAUCAAUGGGCUAUGGAGAUUCCCACCGAUUGAUGUUAAUGCAAGGAGUAGGGAUUGUCAUGCAACGGAUGCACUAGAGCUAUAAAUGUAUGAAAGCUCAACAAAGAAACUAGUGGGUGUGCAUCCAACUUGCUUGCUCACGAAGACCUAGGGCACUUGAGCAGGCCCAUUGUUGGAAUAUACAAUCCAAGUUCUAUAAUGAAAAAUUCCCACUAGUAUAUGAAAGUGGCAAAACAAGAAAUUCUCUAACAUGAAGAUUAAGGUGCUACUUUGAAGCACAAGUGUGGCAAAGGAUAGUAACAUUGUCCCUUCUCUCUUUUUCUCUCAUUUUUUUGGGCCUUCUUUUUUUUCCUCACUUGGGACAAUGCUCUAGAAAAUGAUGAUCAUCACACUUCUAUUUAUUUACAACUCAAUGAUUACAACUCGAUACUAAGAAAUAUGCAAUGGACCAAGAGUGACAUGUAUGAAAGAAUUAUGAACGGUGGCUUUGCCACAAAGACCAUGUCAACUACAUGAUCAUGCUAAGCAAUAUGACAAUAAUGAAUGUGUCAUGAUGAACGGAAUGAUGGAAAGUUGCAUGGCAAUAUAUCUCGGAAUGUCUAUGGAAAUACCAUAAUAGGUAGGUAUGGUGGAUGUUUUGAGGAAGAUAUAAGGAGGUUUAUGUGUGAAAGAGCGUAUCAUAUCACGGGGUUUGGAUGCACCGGCAAAGUUUACGCCAACUCUCAAUGUGAGAAAGGGCAAUGCACGGUACCGAAGAGGCUAGCAACGAUGGAAGGGUGAGAGUGCAUAUAAUCCAUGGACUCAACAUUAGUCAUAAAGAACUCACAUACUUAUUGCAAAAAUCUACAAGUCAUCAAAAACCUCGGUACUACGCGCAUGCUCCUAGGGGGAUAGAUUGGUAGGAAAAGACCAUCGCUCAUCCCCGACCGCCACUCAUAAGGAAGACAAUCAAAUAACACCUCAUGUUUCAAAUUUGUUGCAUAAUGUUUACCAUACGUGCAUGCUACGGGACUUGCAAACUUCAACAAGUAUUUCUCAAUUUCACAACUACUCAACUAGCAUGACUUUGAUAUUAUUACCUCCAUAUCUCAAAACAAUCAUCAAGCAUCAAACUUCUCUUAGUAUUCAAAACACUCUUAAGAAAAUUUUACUAACUUUGAAUACCUAGCAUAUUAGGAUUUUAAGCAAAUUAUCAUGCUAUUUAGACUACCAAAAUAAUAUAGGUGAAGCAUGAGAGAUCAAUAGUUUCUAUUAAACAAAUCCACCACCGUGCUCUAAAAGAUAUAAGUGAAGUACUAGAGCAAAAAUUAUAUAACUCAAAAGAUAUAAGCGAAGCACAUAGAGCAUUCUAACAAAUUCCAAAUCAUGUAUGGCUCUCUCAAAACGUGCGUACAGCAAGGAUGAUUGUGGUAAACUAACAAGCAAAGACUCAAAUCAUACAAGACGCUCCAAGCAAAACACAUAUCAUGUGGCGAAUAAAAAUAUAGCUCCAAGUAAAGUUACCGAUAGAAGUAGACGAAAGAGGGGAUGCCUUCCGGGGCAUCCCCAAGCUUUGGCUUUUAGGUAUCCUUAGAUUAUAUUGGGGGUGCCAUGGGCAUCCCCAAUCUUAGGCUCUUGCCACUCCUUGUUCCAUAAUCCAUCAAAUCUUUACCCAAAACUUGAAAACUUCACAACACAAAACUUAAAGUAGAAAAUCUCGUGAGCUCCGUUAGCGAAAGAAAAUAAAAGACCACUUCAAGGUACUGUAAUGAACUCAUUAUUUAUUUAUAUUGGUGUUAUACCUACUGUAUUCCAACUUCUCUAUGGUUUAUAAAUUAUUUUACUAGCCAUAGAUUCAUCAAAAUAAGCAAACAACACACGAAAACCAGAAUCUGUCAAAAACAGAACAGUCUGUAGUAAUCUGUAGCUAGCGCAAGAUAUGGAAUACCAAAAAUUCUAAAAUAAAUUUCUAGACGUGAGGAAUUUAUCUAUUAAUCAUCUGCAAAAAUGAUUAACUAAAUAUCACUUUCAAAAUAAAAAUGGCAGCAGUUCUCGUGAGCGCUAAAGUUUCUGUUUUUUACAGCAAGUUCAACAACACUUUCCCCAAGUCUUCCCAACGAUUCUACUUGGCACAAACACUAAUUAAACACAAAAAACACAACCAAAACUAAGGCUAGAUAAAUAUUUAUUACUAAACAGGAGCAAAAGGCAAGGAAUAAAAAUAAAUUUGGGUUGCCUCCCAACAAGCGCUAUCGUUUAACGCCCCUGGCUAGGCAUAACAAGCAAGAAUAGAUCUAGGUAUUGCCAUCUUUGGUAGGCAAUCCAUAAGUGGCUCUCAUAAUAGAUUCAUAAGGUGAUUUAAUUUUAUUUCUAGGAAAGUGUUCCAUGCCUUUCCUUAAUUGAAAUUGGAAUCUAAUAUUUCCUUCCUUCAUAUCAAUAAUUGCACAAAUGUUCUAAGGAAAGGUCUACCAAGAAUAAUAGGACAUGAUGGAUUGCAAUCUAUGUCAAGAACAAUAAAAUCUACGGGCACAUAAAUCCUAUUUGCAACAAUAAGAACAUCAUUAAUUCUUCCCAUAUGUUUCUUAAUAGUGGAAUCCGCAAGGUGCAAGUUUAGAGAGCAAUCAUCAAAAUCACGGAAACCUAACAAAUCACACAAAGUCUUUGGAAUCGUGGAAACACUAGCACCCAAAUCACAUAAAGCAUAGAAUUCAUGAUCUUUAAUUUUAAUUUUAAUAGUUGGUUCCCACUCAUCAUAAAGUUUUCUAGGGAUAGAAACUUCCAAUUCAAGUUUUUCUUCAUAAGAUUGCAUCAAGGCAUCAACGAUAUGUUUAGUAAACGCUUUAUUUUGACUAUAAGCGUGAGGAGAAUUUAGCACGGAUUGCAACAAGGAAAUACAAUCAAUCAAAGAGAAAUUUUCAUAGUUAAAUUCCUUGAAAUCCAUAAUAGUGGGUUUAGCAACAUCUAGGGUUUUAAUUUCUUCAAUCCCACUUUUAUCAAAUUUAGCAUCAAGAUCAACAAAUUCCGAAUUCUUAGAAUGCCUUCUAGGUAAAGGUGGAUCAUAUUCAGUCCCAUCAUUUUCAAGAUUCAUAUUUCAAAACAAAGAUUUAAUAGGGGACACAUCAAUAACAUUUAUAUCUUCAUCUUUAUUUUCAUUGGAACUAGAAGAACACGCUCUUAUAAAGGCAUCUUUCUUAGCACGUAUCCUAGCAGUUCUUUCUUUGCACUCAUCAAUGGAAAUUCUCAUGGCUUUGAGAGACUCAUUGAUAUCAUGGUUAGGUGGAAUAGAUCUAGGUUUUAAAGAAUCAACAUCAAGAGAAAUUCUAUCAACGUUCCUAGCCAAAUCAUCAAUCUUAAGCAAUUUUUCUUCAAUCAUAGCAUUAAAAUUCUUUUGCGAAGUAAUAAACUCUUUAAUAUUAGAUUCAAAAUCAGAGGCAUCUUAUUAUAAUUUCCAUAAGAAUUGUUGUAGUAAUUACCAUAAUUAUUAUAGGGAUUACUAGGAUAAGGCCUAGGAUUGAAAUUUCCUCUAUACGCGUUGUUACCAAAAUUGUUCCUACCAACAAAAUUCACAUCCAUAGAUUCAUUAUUAUUCUCAAUCAAAGUAGACAAGGGCAUAUCAUUAGGAUCAGAAGAAACACUCUUACUAGAAAAUAAUUUCAUAAGUUCAUCCAUCUUUCCACUCAAAACAUUAAUUUCUUUUAUCGCGUGCACCUUUUUAUUAGUAGAUCUUUGAGUAUGCCAUUGAGAAUAAUUAACCAUAAUAUUAUCUAGGAGUUUAGUAGCUUCUCCUAAAGUGAUUUCCAUAAAAGUGCCUCCCGCGGCCGAAUAUAAAAGAUUUCUAGAAGAAAAAUUCAAUCCGGCAUAAAAAUUCUGAACAAUCAUCCACAAAUUUAAACCAUGAGUAGGGCAAUUACGUAUCAUUAGUCUCAUUCUCUCCCAAGCUUGUGCAACAUGUUCAUGAUCAAGUUGCUUAAAGUUUAUAAUAUCUUUUCUAAGAGAGAUGAUCUUAGCGGGAGGAAAAUACUUAGAGAUAAAAGCAUCUUUGCACUUGUUCCAUGAAUCAAUACUAUUUUUAGGCAAAGACGAAAACCAAGCUUUAGCAUGAUCUCUAAGCGAGAAAGGAAAUAGUUUCAAUUUAACAAUAUCAUUAUCCACAUAUUUCUUCUUUUGCAUGUCACACAAAUCAAUGAAGCUAUUUAGAUGGGUAGCGGCAUCUUCACUAGGAAGGCCGGAAAACGGAUCUUUCAUGACAAGAUUCAGCAAACUAGUAUUAAUUUCACAAGAUUCAGCAUCGGUAAGAGGAGCAAUCGGAGUGCUAAUAAAAUCAUUGUUGUUGGUAUUGGUGAAGUCACACAAUUUAGUAUUAUCUUGAGCCAUCGUGACAAGCAAGCGGGCAAAAAGAGGCAAAUAGAGAAACAGAGGUAGGAUAGAGAGAGAGGGCAAAUAAAACGGCAAGGGUGAAGUGGGAGAGAGGAAAACGAGAGGCAAAUGGUAAAUAAUGUAAUGCAGGAGAUAAGGGUAUGUGAUGGGUACUUGGUAUGUUGACUUUUGCGUAGACCUCCCCGGCAACGGCGCCAGAAAUCCUUCUUGCUACCUCUUGAGCACUGCGUUGGUUUUCCCCAAAGAGGACGGGAUGAUGCAGCAAAGUAGCGUAACUAUUUCCCUCAAUUUUUGAUAACCAAGGUAUCAAUCCAGUAGGAGGCUACGCGCGAGUCCCUCGCACCUGCACAAAACAAAUAAAUCCUCGCAACCAACGCAAAUAGGGGUUGUCAAUCCCUAUAAGGCCACUUACGAGAGUGAGAUCUGAUAGAUAUGAUAAAGAUAAUAUUUUUGGUAUUUUUAUGAUAAAGAUGCAAAGUAAAAUAAAGGCAAAGUAAAUAGCAAAGGAAAUAACUAAGUAGUAGGAGAUUAAUAUGAUGAAGAUAGACCCGGGGGCCAUAGGUUUCACUAGUGGCUUCUCUCGAGAGCAUAAGUAUUCUAUAGUGGGUGAACAAAUUACUGUUGAGCAAUUGACAGAAUUGAGCAUAGUUAUGAGAAUAUCUAGGUAUGAUCAUGUAUAUAAGCAUCACGUCCGAGACAAGUAGACCGACUCCUGCCUGCAACUACUACUAUUACUCCACUCAUCGACCGCUAUCCAGCAUGCAUCUAGAGUAUUAAGUUAAAAACAGAGUAACGCCUUAAGCAAGAUGACAUGAUGUAGAGGGAUAGACUCAUGCAAUAUGAAGAAAACCCCAUCUUGUUAUCCUCGAUGGCAACAAUACAAUACGUGCCUUGCUGCCCCUACUGUCACUGGGAAAGGACACCGCAAGAUUGAACCCAAAGCUAAGCACUUCUCCCAUUGCAAGAAAGAUCAAUCUAGUAGGCCAAACCAAACUGAUAAUUCGAAGAGACUUGCAAAGAUAACCAAUCAUACAUAAAAGAAUUCAUAGAAGAUUCAAAUAUUAUUCAUAGAUAGACUUGAUCAUAAACCCACAAUUCAUCGGUCUCAACAAACACACCGCAAAAAGAAGAUUACAUCGAAUAGUUCUCCACAAGAGAGGGGGAGAACGUUGUAUUGAGAUCCAAAAAGAGAGAAGAAGCCAUCUAGCUACUAACUAUGGACCCGUAGGUCUGAGGUAAACUACUCACACUUCAUCGGAAGGGCUAUGGUGUUGAUGUAGAAGCCCUUCGUGAUCGAUGCCCCCUCCGGCGGAGCUCCGAAACAG
rnacentral:lncRNA from 1 species